rnacentral:rRNA from 1 species
AGUGAACGCUGGCGGUAGGCCUAACACAUGCAAGUCGAACGGCAGCACAGUAAGAGCUUGCUCUUACGGGUGGCGAGUGGCGGACGGGUGAGGAAUACAGCGGAAUCUACUUUUUCGUGGGGGAUGACGAAGGGAAACUUACGCUAAUACCGCAUACGACCUACGGGUGAAAGCAGGGGAUCUUCGGACCUUGCGCGAUUGAAUGAGCCGAUGUCGGAUUAGCUAGUUGGAGGGGUAAGGGCCCACCAAGGCGACGAUCCGUAGCUGGUCUGAGAGGGUGGUCAGCCACACUGGAAGUGAGACACGGUCCAGACUCCUACGGGAGGCAGCAGUGGGGAAUAUUGGACAAGGGGGGCAAGCCUGAUCCAGCCAUACCGCGUGGGUGAAGAAGGCCUUCGGGUUGUAAAGCCCUUUUGUUGGGAAAGAAAAGCAGCAGGUUAAUACCCCGCUGUUCUGACGGUACCCAAAGAAUAAGCACCGGCUAACUUCGUG